rnacentral:rRNA from 1 species
UACGUAGGGGGCAAGCGUUGUCCGGAUUUAUUGGGCGUAAAGGGCGUGUAGGCGGCCAGACAGGUCCGUUGUGAAAACUGGAGGCUCAACCUCCAGACGUCGAUGGAAACCGUCUGGCUAGAGUCCGGAAGAGGAGAGUGGAAUUCCUAGUGUAGCGGUGAAAUGCGCAGAUAUCAGGAAGAACACCCGUGGCGAAAGCGGCUCUCUGGGACGGUACUGACGCUGAGACGCGAAAGCGUGGGGAGCGAACAGG